rnacentral:rRNA from 1 species
UGGCUCAGGAUGAACGCUGGCGGCGUGCCUAAUACAUGCAAGUCGAGCGAACGGACGAGAAGCUUGCUUCUCUGAUGUUAGCGGCGGACGGGUGAGUAACACGUGGAUAACCUACCUAUAAGACUGGGAUAACUUCGGGAAACCGGAGCUAAUACCGGAUAAUAUUUUGAACCGCAUGGUUCAAAAGUGAAAGACGGUCUUGCUGUCACUUAUAGAUGGAUCCGCGCUGCAUUAGCUAGUUGGUAAGGUAACGGCUUACCAAGGCAACGAUGCAUAGCCGACCUGAGAGGGUGAUCGGCCACACUGGAACUGAGACACGGUCCAGACUCCUACGGGAGGCAGCAGUAGGGAAUCUUCCGCAAUGGGCGAAAGCCUGACGGAGCAACGCCGCGUGAGUGAUGAAGGUCUUCGGAUCGUAAAACUCUGUUAUUAGGGAAGAACAUAUGUGUAAGUAACUGUGCACAUCUUGACGGUACCUAAUCAGAAAGCCACGGCUAA